GCAUUCGUGGUCUAAUGGUAUGAUGUCUGCCUUCCAAGCAGGCGAACCGGGUUCGAUUCCCGGCGGAUGCA